CUCCCUCCCUCUCCUCUCCCUGCCGCCGCCCUUUCUCUGCUCUUUGCCUGCCCACCGCCGCCUCGCCUCCCCUUCUCCCUCUCCGCCUGCCUCCGUCGCCCCUCCCCGUCGCCGCCCGCUCCUGUGCCGGAUCUUGAUUCGGCGCGACGGCGUGCUGCUCGAUAGAGGCGCAGAGCGCAGGCAUGAGCGGCGCGCGCAUGGGUAGCAGGGUGCUCCCCUAGCGGCUGUAGUGCCGUGAGCUCACCGCCAGGAGGCAGCUCGACCUCCGCCCCAAAUGAGCACAGUCACACUCGCCCACCCCCACGACUCCUCUCCCAAAUCGGCGUCGGGACGCUCGCCCGACCUGCGAGGCCGUGACUUCUUCUCCUCCCCGUGCCUCUUGCCAACGCGCUGCCUCCUCCUUGACCGUGAAUCCUUCCACCACCCAGCUCCUCCACCCACAGCUUCUCUUGUGCCUCCCCUCUCCUAAAGUUUCGCGCAAUCCAUCCAGUUCCUCAUGGAGGAAGUGAUAUAGGCAGGGAUGGCGUCCGAGGAGGCGGCGGAUGGAUCUGCAAUGGAGUCCUUCUCUCAGCAAAUUUGCACGUGUAGGACCUGGUGGUUGCACAGAAAUUGGAGAUGGCUCAUCCUGUCGACUCCCUCUCUACUUCGCAUGUUCACUGAUGAUUAGUAUUGAUGGACAGCUCACGUCUUCACUGCUGGUCACAGAUCAUAUAGAAAAUACUGGAUCAAGGGGGCCUCCCUGCUAUUGUUGGCAGCACAAACUUCUACAUCCAGUAACUUUGAUUUACAGGCAUGCAUUUAUGUAUGAUCUUAUGUUCAUGGACUGCACUAUCUGAUUUAUUGCCGUAUUUUUGCCCUUCAAUAUCCUAGGCCCUUAUUAGCCCAAUCACGAGCACUAGGAGCUCAAGAACGCACUGGCCACCGUGGUCCCGCCCACCAACCCCAUGGAGCUCACCAACCAUGACCUCGAGCAGUUCCAAACCGUGCCUGCUUCAGUUGCGGCUAGCUUCUGUGUGCCCUUCAUCUCCGGCAAGAAGAGUUUGGACCUGAAGUCUGCAUCGACUUUGGCCUGCAAAGUUUGUACCAUGAUGAUUUGCUUUUGGUUUUAGUUAGUAUUUAAAGCUGUCAGCUAGGUUAUUUGGUAGCUAUGCACACUUGCUGUUGCAGGUAGAUUUAUGGUGCUCGGAUGUGCUAUAAUAUGGAUGUGCUAUAAUAUGGAUGCUCCAAAUACCGGACGACACCUGAUGGUAGGAUAGAUUGGUGCUCAGAUGUAACCAUGGUGAUUGGAUGUACUAUGAUGUUGAUGAUUGAGAUGCCGGAUAAACACCCAAUGGAUAGGAUAGCUUCAUGCUCGAAUGUAUUGUAAUAUUUUGUAUUUAGAUGCCAGAAAGACACCUGAUGGCUAGAAUAGCUUUUCGUGCUCAAAUGUGCUGUAAUAUUUAUGAUUCAAAUGCUAGAUAGUUAACAUGAUGAUGAUGUGUUUGCUACGCGA